AACGUAGGAGGCGAGCGUUAUCCGGAGUUACUGGGCGUAAAGCGCGUGUAGGCGGUUAUGUAGGUCUGAUGUGAAAGCUCCCUGGCUAAACCGGGAGAGGUCAUUGGAAACCGUAUGACUAGAGGUCGGUAGAGGGACAUGGAAUUCCGGGUGUAGUGGUGAAAUGCGUAGAGAUCCGGAGGAACACCAGUGGCGAAGGCGGUGUCCUGGGCCGAAACUGACGCUGAGACGCGAAAGCAUGGGUAGCGAACGGG
rnacentral:rRNA from 1 species